rnacentral:rRNA from 1 species
UACGGAGGGUGCAAGCGUUAUCCGGAUUUACUGGGUUUAAAGGGCUCGUAGGCGGCCAACUAAGUCAGACGUGAAAUCCCUCGGCUUAACCGGGGAACUGCGUCUGAUACUGGAUGGCUUGAGGUUGGGAGAGGGAUGCGGAAUUCCAGGUGUAGCGGUGAAAUGCGUAGAUAUCUGGAGGAACACCGGUGGCGAAGGCGGCAUCCUGGACCAAUUCUGACGCUGAGUGAGCGAAAGCCAGGGGAGCAAACGGG